GAUGAACGCUGGCGGCGUGCCUAAUACAUGCAAGUCGAGCGAACGGACGAGAAGCUUGCUUCUCUGAUGUUAGCGGCGGACGGGUGAGUAACACGUGGAUAACCUACCUAUAAGACUGGGAUAACUUCGGGAAACCGGAGCUAAUACCGGAUAAUAUUUUGAACCGCAUGGUUCAAAAGUGAAAGACGGUCCUGCUGUCACUUAUAGAUGGAUCCGCGCUGCAUUAGCUAGUUGGUAAGGUAACGGCUUACCAAGGCAACGAUGCAUAGCCGACCUGAGAGGGUGAUCGGCCACACUGGAACUGAGACACGGUCCAGACUCCUACGGGAGGCAGCAGUAGGGAAUCUUCCGCAAUGGGCGAAAGCCUGACGGAGCAACGCCGCGUGAGUGAUGAAGGUCUUCGGAUCGUAAAACUCUGUUAUUAGGGAAGAACAUAUGUGUAAGUAACUGUGCACAUCUUGGCGGUACCUAAUCAGAAAGCCACGGCUAACUACGUG
rnacentral:rRNA from 1 species